CAGUACUGCUGUACUGUUGAUUUAUUUUUAUAUUUUGGUUUUUGGGGGAGAAGCCUGAAAAAAUUAGACAAGUUUCUUGUUUAAAUUAAUUAUAUAAGCCUGAAAUUAGCUAUUACUAAGGAAUUUGUUACAAAGCAAUUUAGAUAUAAAGAAGAAUAAUUAUACUAUUUAGUGAUGGUGGUAAUGGAAAGAAUUAGAUUUAAAUUUAUUUAUGCUAGAAUGAGUAUUAAUCACUAGUUGAAUGGAUUUUAAUUAGAAAAUAAUCUAUAGGCAUGUUUUGUCUAGGAAUUAAGUAGAAAUAAGGAACUCGGCAAAUAGAAGCUUCGCCUGUUUAUCAAAAACAUGGCUCUUUGAAUUACUUUUUAUGGAGAGUCGAACCUGCCCAGUGAAAUUUUAACGGCCGCGGUACCCUAACCGUGCAAAGGUAGCAUAAUCAUUUGCCUUAUAAUUAAAGGCUUGUAUGAAUGGUUUGACGGGGCAUUACUGUCUGUUUUUUAUUUUGUAGAAUUUGACUUCCAGGUGAAGAGGCCUGGGUAUAAUUGAAAGACAAGAAGACCCUAUCGAGCUUAAGAAUAAACUAUAAAUAAAUUAUAAAUUAAAAUCACUUGUUAGUUAAUUUUUUUUGGUUGGGGCGACCCAGGAACAGGUAAAGCUUCCUGCAUAUUUUCAGUUAACAAAUAAUGAUCCAGCAAGGCUGAUUAGCAAAAUUAGUUACCGUAGGGAUAACAGCAUAAUCCUUCUUGAGAGAUCUAAUCGAAAGAGGGGGUUGUGACCUCGAUGUUGGACUAUAAUAUCCUAAAGAUGUAGAAGUCU
rnacentral:rRNA from 1 species